GACGAACGCUGGCGGCGUGCCUAAUACAUGCAAGUCGAACGCAGUGGGGACGGGUGAGUAAAACGUGGGUAACCUCCCAUCAGAGGGGAUAAAACUUGGAAACUGGUGCUAAAACCGAUACUGGUGGAUGGACCCGCGGUGCAGUAGCUAGGUGGUGGGGUAACGGCUCACCAAGGCCACGAUGCAUAGCCGGUCUGAGAGGGUGAUCAGCCACACUGGGACUGAGACACGGCCCAGACUCCUACGGGAGGCAGCAGUAGGGAAUCUUCGGCAAUGGACGAAAGUCUGACCGAGCAACGCCGCGUGUGUGAAGAAGGUUUUCGGAUCGUAAAACUCUUUUGUUGGGGAAGCGUUAUCUAAAGAGAAAGCCCCGGCUAACUACGUGCCAGCAGCCGCGGUAAUUC
rnacentral:rRNA from 1 species